rnacentral:rRNA from 1 species
UACGAAGGGGGGCUAGCGUUGUUCGGAAUCACUGGGCGUAAAGCGCACGCAGGCGGAUCGUUAAGUCAGGGGUGAAAUCCCGAGGCUCAACCUCGGAACUGCCUUUGAUACUGGCGAUCUUCGAGUCCGGGAGAGGUGAGUGGAACUCCUAGUGUAGAGGUGGAAUUCGUAGAUAUUAGGAAGAACACCAGUGGCGAAGGCGGCUCACUGGUCCGGUACUGACGCUGAGGUGCGAAAGCGUGGGGAGCAAACAGG